rnacentral:rRNA from 1 species
AAACUGAAGAGUUUGAUCAUGGCUCAGAUUGAACGCUGGCGGCAGGCCUAACACAUGCAAGUCGAGCGCGAAAGUUCCUUCGGGAGUGAGUAGAGCGGCGGACGGGUGAGUAACGCGUAGGAAUCUACCCAGUA